rnacentral:sRNA from 1 species
GAAGGAUCAUUAUUGAAUGAACUUGGUGUGGUUGUUGCUGGCCCUCUCGGGGGCAUGUGCACACCCGCCAUCCUCAUCUCUCCACCUGUGCACCUCUUGUAGACCUGGAUAGACUUUCUGAGGCAACUCAGUCGGGAAGAUUGCUGCGCUCUGUGAGCCAGCUUUCUUUGCAUGUCCAGGCCUAUGUUUUUCAUAUACCCCUAUAGAAUGUAACAGAAUGUAUCAUUGGGCCUUGUGCCUAUAAACCUUAUACAACUUUCAGCAACGGAUCUCUUGGCUCUCGCAUCGAUGAAGAACGCAGCGAAAUGCGAUAAGUAAUGUGAAUUGCAGAAUUCAGUGAAUCAUCGAAUCUUUGAACGCACCUUGCGCUCCUUGGUAUUCCGAGGAGCAUGCCUGUUUGAGUGUCAUUAAAUUCUCAACCUUAUUAACUUUUGUUGAUAAUGGAUUGGAUGUGGGGGUUUCUUUUGCUGGCUUCUUCACAGAUAUCAGCUCCCCUUAAAUGCAUUAGCUGGUGCCCCGCGUGGACCAUCUAUUGGUGUGAUAAUUAUCUACGCCGUGGAUGUCUGCAAUCAUAUGGGUUUUGCACUGCUUCUAACCGUCUGUUCAUUCAGACAAUACAUGA